rnacentral:rRNA from 1 species
CGGAGAGGGCGAGCGUUAUUCGGAAUUAUUGGGCGUAAAGGGCGCGUAGGUGGCCCUGUAAGUCAAAGGUGAAAUCCCUCGGCUCAACCGAGGAAUUGCCCUUGAGACUGCAGGGCUUGAGGCCGGGAGGGGGUAGCGGAAUUCCCAGUGUAGCGGUGAAAUGCGUAGAUACUGGGAGGAACACCGGUGGCGAAGGCGGCUACCUGGACCGGUUCUGACACUGAUGCGCGAAAGCGUGGGUAGCAAACAGGAUUAGAUACCCUGGUAGUCCACGCUGUAAACGAUGGGUGCUCGGUAUCGCGGGUAUCGACCCCUGCGGUGCCUUAGCUAACGCGUUAAGCACCCCGCCUGGGGAGUACGGUCGCAAGGCUG